UUAGUAUGGAGAAAUUGUACGACUGAUGGGUGGUCCUUCUAAACCCAUGAAUUUUUAAAACUUUGGUGCUAGAGUUGAUGUUAACUGGCUUCAAAAUGUUUUUGAUUAUACAUGUUCUAUUAGCAACAUGAAUGACUGCGUUUUAAGCCCAUAUCUACUUGUUUAUUGUCAAACCAAUCCUCCGCCCCCUGGAAACAUUGUUAAUUGGUAUGAGGAUUAUAGUAUAUCAACCCUUAUAUGAAUGGGUUUUAGUCAAUUGGCUACGAAUGGUUCGAUGCAACAGUCCAUCAGUGGGUACUGUCAUUCUAUCAACCAAAUCCAUAUCUUUCACUGCCUGCUUUACUUGUUCAGGGUAAAUCCCGACUUCACGAUUCAUGGAUAAUGCAAAUUAAGUGAAAGUCAUAUUUAAUAUUAGUCUUUUUUAAGAUAUUACUAUUUUGUAUUUGAUUUAGAAUUAUUUUGUUGGCAUAAUUAACUUUAUAUUUUUAUUUUUUGAAGAGGCUUAUUGUCAGCCAUUUAGGAAAUCCAUAAAAAUGGCUACUAUCAUGGUGGUCUUCAGCAUGACUACAUGUAUGUCAUUGUUGGAAGGAUAAAGUUAUUUAACAUUUUGAAUUCUGAAUGGUGUUCAAGAUCUAGAAGUCAUGAAGCUUACAGAUUUUUCAAGCUUCGGGGACUACAUAAAUAGCCUGCUUUAUGGCUAUCAAUCAUGGACGAAUAAAGACAAUUUUGUGUUGUUUUUCCAGCUGUCAGGAAAUUGAUUGAUUAUCCCUUUUUACUGAUGCCCCGCUUAACGAUGAAGAAGAUCGAUGAUAUUUAUCAAAGUAAGAGCCCUUCUGCACGUAUGAGAUUUUUCAACAAAAAUAUUGCAUUUGCUACGUUUUCAUUGAUUGGAAUUUGGAUCCGAGUAGGUGUGAACCAUUUAUGGUUGCAAUAUAUAAAUUUGAUCUGAAGAGAAUUAUAUAUGGUAGGGAUCCGGAUAAAUUGUUAAGAUUCAACCAAAAUAAUUGGAACUUGACAAUUGUGGAGGUCGAUGUUGCAUUAAGAAGUCUAUGGCCUGAUAUCUCAUUCACAUAUAUCCAUGAAAUUAUAAGUGUUAUUUUACUUUCUUUAGAUACUUCUGUUCCAAUAUUGGAGUAUGAUUAUACGUAAGAGUUAUUUUAUUUCUUUA